UUACGGUUAUAUCAAGUUGAAACACCGGUUCUCGCUCGAUCAUCGAAGUUAAGCAACGUUAAACCUGGUCAGUACGUGGAUAGGUGACCACUGGGAAAUACAAUGGAGCUGUAAG